GCCCUUCAGGCCUAACACAUGCAAGUCGAACGGAAAGGCCCUUUCGGGGGUACUCGAGUGGCGAACGGGUGAGUAACACGUGGGUGAUCUGCCCUGCACUUUGGGAUAAGCCUGGGAAACUGGGUCUAAUACCGAAUACACCCUGCUGGUCGCAUGGCCUGGUGGGGGAAAGUGCGGUGUGUAAUAGCACUGUGCGGUGUGGGAUGGGCCCGCGGCCUAUCAGCUUGUUGUUGGGGUGAUGGCCUACCAAGGCGACGACGGGUAGCCGGCCUGAGAGGGUGUCCGGCCACACUGGGACUGAGAUACGGCCCAGACUCCUACGGGAGGCAGCAGUGGGGAAUAUUGCACAAUGGGCGCAAGCCUGAUGCAGCGACGCCGCGUGGGGGAUGACGGCCUUCAGGGUUGUAAACCUCUUUCACCAUCGGCGAAGCCCAUGAUUUUUGUUGUGGUGACGGUAGGUGGAGAAGAAGCACCGGCCAACUACGUGCCAGCAGCCGCGGUAAU
rnacentral:rRNA from 1 species